rnacentral:rRNA from 1 species
UGGAUCCAGACUUUGAUCAUGGCUCAGGAUGAACGCUAGCUACAGGCUUAACACACGCAAGUCGAGGGGAAACGAUAUUGGAAGCUUGCUUCCGAUAGGCGUCGACCGGCGCACGGGUGAGUAACGCGUAUCCAACCUGCCCACCACUUGGGGAUAACCUUGCGAAAGUAAGGCUAAUACCCAAUGACGUCUCUAGAAGACAUCUGAAAGAGAUUAAAGAUUUAUCGGUGAUGGAUGGGGAUGCGUCUGAUUAGCUUGUUGGCGGGGUAACGGCCCACCAAGGCGACGAUCAGUAGGGGUUCUGAGAGGAAGGUCCCCCACAUUGGAACUGAGACACGGUCCAAACUCCUACGGGAGGCAGCAGUGAGGAAUAUUGGUCAAUGGACGAGAGUCUGAACCAGCCAAGUAGCGUGCAGGAAGACGGCCCUAUGGGUUGUAAACUGCUUUUAUAAGGGAAUAAAGUUAGUCUCGUGAGACUUUUUGCAUGUACCUUAUGAAUAAGGACCGGCUAAUUCCGUGCCAGCAGCCGUGGUAAUACGGAAGGUCCGGGCGUUAUCCGGAUUUAUUGGGUUUAAAGGGAGCGUAGGCCGGAGAUUAAGCGUGUUGUGAAAUGUAGAUGCUCAACAUCUGAACUGCAGCGCGAACUGGUUUCCUUGAGUACGCACAAAGUGGGCGGAAUUCGUGGUGUAGCGGUGAAAUGCUUAGAUAUCACGAAGAACUCCGAUUGCGAAGGCAGCUCACUGGAGCGCAACUGACGCUGAAGCUCGAAAGUGCGGGUAUCGAACAGGAUUAGAUACCCUGGUAGUCCGCACGGUAAACGAUGGAUGCCCGCUGUUGGUCUGAAUAGGUCAGCGGCCAAGCGAAAGCAUUAAGCAUCCCACCUGGGGAGUACGCCGGCAACGGUGCAACUCAAAUGAAUUGACGGA